rnacentral:rRNA from 1 species
GGCCUAACACAUGCAAGUCGAGCGGAAACGGCAGUAUUGAAGCUUCGGUGGAUUUACUGGACGUCGAGCGGCGGACGGGUGAGUAACGGCUGGGAACCUGCCCUGACGAGGGGGAUAACCGUUGGAAACGACGGCUAAUACCGCAUAAUGUCUACGGACCAAAGGUGGCCUCUACAUGUAAGCUAUCGCGUUGGGAUGGGCCCAGUUAGGAUUAGCUAGUUGGUAAGGUAAUGGCUUACCUAGGCAACGAUCCUUAGCUGGUUUGAGAGGAUGAUCAGCCACACUGGGACUGAGACACGGCCCAGACUCCUACGGGAGGCAGCAGUGGGGAAUAUUGCACAAUGGGGGAGACCCUGAUGCAGCCAUGCCGCGUGUGUGAAGAAGGCCUUCGGGUUGUAAAGCACUUUCAGCAGUGAGGAAGGUCGUGUACUUAAUACGUGCACGGCUUGACGUUAGCUGCAGAAGAAGCACCGGCUAACUCCGUGCCAGCAGCCGCGGAAAUACGGAGGGUGCGAGCGUUAAUCGGAAUUACUGGGCGUAAAGCGCAUGCAGGCGGUUUGUUAAGUCAGAUGUGAGAGCCCGGGGCUCAACCUCGGAACCGCAUUUGAAACUGGCAGGCUAGAGUCUUGUAGAGGGGGGUAGAAUUUCAGGUGUAGCGGUGAAAUGCGUAGAGAUCUGAAGGAAUACCAGUGGCGAAGGCGGCCCCCUGGACAAAGUCUGACGCUCAGAUGCGAAAGCGUGGGUAGCAAACAGGAUUAGAUACCCUGGUAGUCCACGCCGUAAACGCUGUCUACUUGGAGGUUGAGGUUUUAGACUUUGGCUUUCGGCGCUAACGCAUUAAGUAGACCGCCUGGGGAGUACGGCCGCAAGGUUAAAACUCAAAUGAAUUGACGGGGGCGCGCACAAGCGGUGGAGCAUGUGGUUUAAUUCGAUGCAACGCGAAGAACCUUACCUACUCUUGACAUCCAGCGAAGCCUUUAGAGAUAGAGGUGUGCCUUCGGGAGCGCUGAGACAGGUGCUGCAUGGCUGUCGUCAGCUCGUGUUGUGAAAUGUUGGGUUAAGUCCCGCAACGAGCGCAACCCUUAUCCUUGUUUGCCAGCACRUAAUGGUGGGAACUCCAGGGAGACUGCCGGUGAUAAACCGGAGGAAGGUGGGGACGACGUCAAGUCAUCAUGGCCCUUACGAGUAGGGCUACACACGUGCUACAAUGGCAGAUACAGAGGGGAGCGAGACAGCGAUGUUUAGCGAAUCCCUUAAAGUUUGUCGUAGUCCGGAUUGGAGUCUGCAACUCGACUCCAUGAAGUCGGAAUCGCUAGUAAUCGUGGAUCAGAAUGCCACGGUGAAUACGUUCCCGGGCCUUGUACACACCGCCCGUCACACCAUGGGAGUGGGCUGCACCAGAAGUAGAUAGCUUAACCUUCGGGAGGGCGUUUACCACGGUGUGGUUCAUGACUGGGGUGAAGUCGUAACAAGGUAGCCCUAGGGGAACCUGCGGCUGGU